GCUGUUAGAACUGUUCAGGAUGUGGCCAGUGGCGUAGCUAGAAAUGACUGGGCCCCACAGCAAAUUUUGAAUGGGGCCCCCCUCCCCCAGUAAUUUCUUCACAACCCCUUCCUUUUAUGCCGUCCCCAUUCCUGUGGCUAGUAAAGAUUGCUCUCUCAGACCAGGGCCGGCAGCUGUUCCAUCUGUUUUAUACACUGUCUAUACUGCCACUGUAUAUAAUUUUAUUGUGUAAU